GGAGGUAGUGACAAUAAAUCACAAUGCGGAACUAUUAGUUUUGCAAUUGGAUUGAGAACAAUGUACAAAUGUUAUCGAUAAACAAUUGGAGGGCAAGUCUGGUGCCAGCAGCCGCGGUAAUUCCAGCUCCAAUAGCGUAUAUUAACGUUGUUGCAGUUAAAAAGCUCGUAGUUGAAUUGAAGUGAACUUGGGUUGAUGUGAUCUUCGGAUGACAUGAAUCAAAGUUGACUCUUUCCAAAGUCAAUACAUUGGUAUUCAUUUAUCUUUGUAUUGUGUUUGGUCAUUUACUGUGAGAAAAUUAGAGUGUUCAAAGCAGACGUUUGUUUGAAUACAUUAGCAUGGAAUAAUCAUAUAUGGCUUUCAUGUUGAUUUGAUUGGUUUGAAUAUGGAAGCAAGAUUAAAAGGGACAGUUGGGGGUAUUCAUAUUCAAUAGUCGGAGGUGAAAUUCUGGGAUUUAUGGAAGAUGAACAAGUGCGAAAGCA
rnacentral:rRNA from 1 species